UAAUACUCCAUAGAUCAUGGGAUCUGGAAUGACCCAUGGUUGAAAGUUCCGGCGCUUAAGGAUCGCUCUGCGGCUUAUCAGGUUGUAGUGGGUGUAACGUACCCCCUAGCCAGUGACGAGUAUGGGCCUUGAGAGAGGGAGCCCAGAGUUGGAUUCUGAGACACGAAUCCAGGCCCUACGGGGCGCAGCAGUCGCGAAAACUUCACACUGGGGGCAACCCCGAUGAGGGAAUUCCUAGUGCUAGGAUAUUUGUUCUAGCUUUUCUCUAGCGUAGAUAACUAGAGGAAUAAGGGCUGGGUAAGACGGGUGCCAGCCGCCGCGGUAAUACCUGCAGCCCAAGUGGUGGUCGAUUUUAUUGAGUCUAAAGCGUUCGUAGCCGGUUUGAUAAAUCCUUGGGUAAAUCGGGAAGCUUAACUUUCCGACUUCCGAGGAGACUGUCAAACUUGGGACCGGGAGAGGCUAGAGGUACUUCUGGGGUAGGGGUAAAAUCCUGUAAUCCUAGAAGGACCACCGGUGGCGAAGGCGUCUAGCUAGAACGGAUCCGACGGUGAGGGACGAAGCCCUGGGUCGCAAACGGGAUUAGAUACCCCGGUAGUCCAGGGUGUAAACGCUGCCGACUUGGUGU
rnacentral:rRNA from 1 species